rnacentral:rRNA from 1 species
AGCCCGCUCAGAAACUUAAAGGAAUUGACGGGGGCCCGCACAAGCGGUGGAGUAUGUGGUUUAAUUCGAUGCAACGCGAAGAACCUUACCUGGUCUUGACAUCCCGGAGACCCUUAGGAAACUAGGGGGUGCUUCCAUCUGGAAGAAUCUGGAGACAGGUGCUGCAUGGCUGUCGUCAGCUCGUGUCGUGAGAUGUUGGGUUAAGUCCCGCAACGAGCGCAACCCUUGCCUUUAGUUGCCAGCAGUUCGGCUGGGCACUCUAAAGGGACUGCCGGUGUUAAACCGGAGGAAGGUGGGGAUGACGUCAAGUCCUCAUGGCCUUUAUGACCAGGGCUACACACGUACUACAAUGGCCGAUACAAAGGGCAGCGACACUGCGAGGUGAAGCCAAUCCCGUAAAAUCGGUCUCAGUCCGGAUUGGAGUCUGCAACUCGACUGCGUGAAGUCGGAAUCGCUAGUAAUCGUGAAUCAGAAUGUCACGGUGAAUACGUUCCCGGGCCUU